UGGGGAAUAUUGCACAAUGGGCGCAAGCCUGAUGCAGCCAUGCCGCGUGUGUGAAGAAGGCCUUCGGGUUGUAAAGCACUAUCAGCGGGGAGGAAGGCGUUAAGGUUAAUAACCUUGGCGAUUGACGUUACCCGCAGAAGAAGCACCGGCUAACUCCGUGCCAGCAGCCGCGGUAAUACGGAGGGUGCAAGCGUUAAUCGGAAUUACUGGGCGUAAAGCGCACGCAGGCGGUCUGUCAAGUCGGAUGUGAAAUCCCCGGGCUCAACCUGGGAACUGCAUUCGAAACUGGCAGGCUAGAGUCUUGUAGAGGGGGGUAGAAUUCCAGGUGUAGCGGUGAAAUGCGUAGAGAUCUGGAGGAAUACCGGUGGCGAAGGCGGCCCCCUGGACAAAGACUGACGCUCAGGUGCGAAAGCGUGGGGAGCAAACAGG
rnacentral:rRNA from 1 species